GCGUUUACCGCGGGAGCCCUUAGCGGUCUGGAGCUUUCAGCUUAUGUGGAGAAGUCGCUGUGAAGCCACCUAUAAAUCCAUUUACUGAAUUUAUGGAGAAGGCUGUAAAUGAUGGAAGUCAUUCAGAAGAACUCUUUUGCCAUCUUAAAACUAUAUCAGAGAAAGAAGAUUUACCACGGUGUACCAGUGAAAGUCAUCUCAGCUGGUAUUCUCAUCAGUAUCAGGGGAAAUCUAAAUUUCCGAUUCUAGGAUUUCCUGUUUUGUCUAUAAUAUAAAUUAUUUGAAUCAAAUACAGCAUUCUUUUAAGAGUA
rnacentral:lncRNA from 1 species